rnacentral:rRNA from 1 species
GACGAACGCUGGCGGCGUGCUUAACACAUGCAAGUCGAACGGAAAGGCCCUGCUUUUGUGGGGUUCUCGAUUGGCGAACGGGUGAGUAACACGUGAGUAACCUGCCCUUGACUUUGGGAUAACUUCAGGAAACUGGGGCUAAUACCGGAUAGGAUCUCCUGCUCCAGGGUGGGGGUUGGAAAGUUUCGGCGGUUGGGGUUGGACUCGCGGCUUACCAGCUGGUUGGUGGGGUUGUUGCUUACCAAGGCUUUGAAGGGUACCCGGCCUGAGAGGGUGACCGGGGACCUUGGGACUGCGAUACGGCGCAGACUCGUACGGGAGGCAGCAGUGGGGAAUAUUGCACAGUGGGCGGAAGCGUGAUGCAGCAACGCCGCGAGCGGGAUGACGGCCUUCGGGUUGUAAACCGCUUUCGCCUGUGACGAAGCGUGAGUGACGGUAAUGGGUAAAGAAGCACCGGCUAACUACGUG